GCUGGAGAGAAUGAGCUUGGAGCCGCAGGGCUUAAUCCCGCGCGGCUCAGAGAUGGGUUUCUGGACUCGCGAAGCAGCUGCAACAAGGCAUCACUCACUGUAUAAGUAUUUCCAUUUCUGAGAGCAAAAGGAAGAACUUAAGCGGGCGGCACUUGGAGUGUAAAUUGCUUUGUAGUAUUUAAAGGCAGAAUGGAUCCUGGGCAGCCGAGCUGAUCAUGAGGUUCCUGAGGCCUCCUAGCCAUGCUUCCUGUGCAGCCUAUGGAACUGAUCACUGUUGUAUUUUUAAACCUUAUUCCUGGAAGCACUACGGAUAUCAGAUCAAUUUAGAAAGCCAAAGAGUACCUCUGGGAAUGAAAUGGUAGUAAUAGAAACAAUAUUUGGCCAAACUAUCGCUGUAUGCCAAUGAUGCCAAAAAUCACAGUAACCUGGCAGCAACAAACCGGCAGGACUUCCUGUGAAAUCAUGACCACCAUGUGCUCUUUCAGCCUCUAUCAGUUCCUACCUCUAAGCACCUGAGAGCCAAAGCAAACCACAGGAAACCACAGGUACUAACUCUUUUAGACCUGAUGAAGUGUCUCCCAAAUACAGUCUGGCAUGACUCAAACUAAACGUCAGCUUUUCCCGGCUCUCAAGCCUGCUGGUCCCUGAACUAAAACUCACAUUAUCAACUCUACUGGUUCUUAGGCCUUUGGAGUCAGACUGGAACUACAGCAUUGACUCUUCCGGAACUCCAGCUUACUGACUACAGAUCUUGGAACUUUUCAGCUUCCACAACCAUAAUGAAAGCCAAGCAUAUUCCAUCAUUUCCUAAAACCAAGAUAGAGCACAUAUGGGAACUUGUGAAAUAAGGAUGCCCUGCGGUUGUUUUCAGGACUGAAGACAACAGCUCCACGAUGUAUCUUUGCAUAAGAAUACACUUGUAUAAUAAGUUUUUUUUUUUAGAGAAAUUGCAUGUAUCUGCCUUAUAAACUUUUUCAUUCAUUCAUUUUCUUUCUUCCUAAUCUGUUCCAUAAAGCAAAUUUCUAACUUAUUGUUAAUCAAAAUAAUUAUUGAAAUAAUUAGUACUUUCAUAUGAUAAAGAUUAUUUUAAUCUGCAGCUACAAAAUAUGUAACUCAUUAAUAUUUAAACAAUCACAAUUUUCUAUUAACAUUAUAGCAUUUUAUCUACUACUAGAUCAGGAAUUAGCUAUUUUUUGUAAAAUUUCUUUGUAAGGCAAAGCAAUAGUAUUGUAUAUACUUUCCUAAAGAUUGUCAAGUUCAGUUUUGCUUAAAUUUAACAGUACAUGUGACACUUUCUGUUUGAAGAAUAAGUUGGUUUUAAGUUUAUACCAAACAAAAGCAUCUCUUUUGUUUUGCAAAAUCUGAAACUUUGAUCUUUCUAGUUGUGACUUCUUGUAAAUAUGUUUUAUAUAAAUAUUCUAUGAAUUGGUUAUUAACAAGGUAAAGAAAGA
rnacentral:lncRNA from 1 species